UCUAAGGAAAAAAAAACUUCCACACCGUCCCUGCCGCAUUAUUCUUUCUCUCUCUCCAUGGAUUGUGCACCUGGUCGUGAAAGUCCAUUAACAAGCGAUUUGCAUCCAAAAAAUAUCAUAAUAGCUAUAUAAGCAGCAUUGCAGAUCGGUUGCAGAAGAAGAGCAUGGUGUUGACUGGGACGAGGCUCCAUUGAUGUGCUGAGGGGUGCCAUGCCACGAGCGAAUCGCGAGUACUGGCCGACGGUAACUUUUCUUUUACAGAAUCUGCAUCCCGUAGCUGUUCUAGAUGUGUCAAAGGUAAUUGUUUGAAGCAGGUUUGAUCUAUCCCGUCCGUAUUAAGUAAGUCCGAGGAUUGGAUAUGACUUCCAGCGUGCUUCCGGUUUUGGUAGUGCAAAUUCAUGACUUCGCCCUUAAUUAUCUACUGAAUUUUCAUGAAGCAUAUAUAAGGCUGGUGACGACGAGAUACUAUGUUUUUCCGGUUCAUAUGGUUGGUCGUAUCCAUAGGAUAAGGUUAUACUUUGUCAUAAGGUUUGAUAAUUGAUAAUACAUACUCCUAUUUCUCUACUUUUAUCAUAAGUAAGAGAAAAGACACAUACUAAAAUUUAUUAAAUGCUAGAACUUGCAUACUAAUAUACUGCUCCCUCCAUCCAGAUGCAUACACACACACACCCAUUAUCUAUCAUGCAUUAAUGUGCGUAGACACAUGUACAUAUUAGUACAAAGAUAAUCCAGCCGUUGGAAAGAUCUCAAAUGCGUGUGCACAGACACCCGUUAUCAAUCAUCUACUGAUAUGCACAUGUGUGUUGCUAAUGGCAAAUAUAUAGAAUAUCCAAGCUCCUUUUUUAGGUGAAUUUGAUCAUUGAGAAAAAUAAAUAAAUCCAUGUCAUCUAUCUAAUGUUUUUUAAUGAAAAUAAUGUAAAAAUUAAUAAAAACAUUAUAUUUCGGUGUAACAUAUAUGGUGUGGUGAAGUGAGCAAAGCGGUAUGAUUGUGCGGCAGUGGCUCAGAUACAAUUCUACUAGCGCAUGUGCUUUGUGCAAGUCAUGCAUCAUAUAACAAUGAGAAGUAAUAAGCAAGAAAGUUUGUGGGGCCAACAUGUCAAUAUUUUCCUUUUUUGCAUCCAUGGUUCUAUUAUGCCUUAUUGUUCUACAAUUGUACUAAUUUAUAUGUUCUCAUGUCACACUCCUUUCCACUCCACAAGAAGUCGAAUCCAUAUUAUUCAUUAGAACAUGAACAUGCCGAGUUAAGUCGUGCAAAAGAAUAGAAGAUGAAUUUUGUGUUUGGCCUUCUGCACACGGACAGUAUGUUUGUUCUCAAAGUGUCAUGAUAAUUUAUAGGACGGAAUACUAAUCCAUUUGCGCGAAAUUGAAAUAUCCAGACUUAUAAUGUGCAAAUAUUACUAUCAGGAUUCAUAUAUAUUAGAUGUAUAAGCUACUGUAUAAAUAGGAAAAGUUAUGGACAAAGUCUAUUAUUGAAAACACAGAUUAUUCUCUAAAAGACAGGAGGUAAAGUUUUUCACUAUUAGAAUAACAUAUAUCAUUAGUUCAUGUAUACCAGUUUCUUCAAACUUUGAGCAUCUCCAAUAUUGCCAUAUUGUUUAUUCUCCACCUGAGCUUAUUAGCAAAUUAUAUGACUUUCCAACCUACAUGAGAUAGGCAAGUCGGUAUAUGAGAAGCAAACAAAAUGAAGAUUAAAAAAUAAUACCUUAUUUCACCAAAUUAUUAAAAAAAAUAUUGAUCAUGGUAUAACUAUUCCUAUUUAGAAUAGAUUUUGUGUAUCUAUCAACAUAAUUGACACAAAUAGUAGAAAUUAGAUCGGUAAAUCAUUCAGGAAAACAAUUAAUAGAUAUGAAGGGCCAUAAUCACCGUGUGUGAUGUAAAUAUACACACAUGCACUUCUAAUAGCAUGGUGCAGUUUACAUGCACUUCUCUUCCUGGUGGAUUUAUGUCUUACAUAGUACUAUGUCCCACUCAUAAUGUUUUCGGUAAGUUAUAAUUUUGAUUUCAGGGGAAGACAAACAAUAAUUCAUACUUGCUUCAAAAAAGUUGGCAUUUGUUUUUUCUCAUAACAUUAUAAGUUAUCUGUUAAUACAGUCAAGAUUGAGUAUUUUAUGGUGCCCGUGCGAAUGCACGGGUUGACGACUAGUUGUUAAUAAUGAUGCUUGUGCUACUAACUCUACUUCUUAUGAAGCAUCCAUUUAAAAGGAGAAUGUUGAGCUAAGGGCUCAACUUGAGUUGCUAUCUAGCAAUUAUG
rnacentral:lncRNA from 1 species